GGUGGCUCAGAGACACACGAAUUGGUUCAAAAUAUUCUAAGAAGAUUUAUAACGAAUAAAUUGGCUACAUUUUUCAAUAUUCAAGGCAAAAACUUAAAAAAAAAGGAUGACGCACAGUCGAAAAUAGCGUUUAAAAAUACGAAUUUAUUGAAAUGCAUAAUCAAAGCUGCUCAACUUCAUCGUAAUAACGUUGACGAGUAUAAUGUGCAACGUAGAAGUAUUGCACCUUGGUUAGCCCAAGCAAAUUUACGUUUAUCCAGAGAAAAAGCUAAAGAGACAAAAAAAGACGCAAUUCUAAUUGAACAACAUACUUCG